rnacentral:rRNA from 1 species
CCUACGGGUGGCAGCAGUGAGGAAUAUUGGUCAAUGGGCGCAAGCCUGACGCAGCAACGCCGCGUGAAGGAAGAAGGCUUUCGGGUUGUAAACUUCUUUUCUCAGGGACGAAGCUAGUGACGGUACCUGAGGAAUAAGCCACUGCUAACUACGUGCCAGCAGCCGCGGUAAUACGUAGGUGGCAAGCGUUAUCCGGAUUUACUGGGUGUAAAGGGCGUGUAGGCGGGACUGCAAGUCAGAUGUGAAAACCACGGGCUCAACCUGUGGACUGCAUUUGAAACUGUAGUUCUUGAGUACUGGAGAGGCAGACGGAAUUCCUAGUGUAGCGGUGAAAUGCGUAGAUAUUAGGAGGAACACCAGUGGCGAAGGCGGUCUGCUGGACAGCAACUGACGCUGAGGCGCGAAAGCGUGGGGAGCAAACAGGAUUAGAUACCCGGGUAGUC